rnacentral:sRNA from 1 species
UUUCAGAUUAGGAUUCACAAAUGAUUAAAUUAUGAAAUUAUAAACUGAUCUGAUUGUUCUUCUGUAAUGGUGAAACUGAAUCAUGUAUUUCACAUGACAGCUCCAGAUUCAUCGAUUAACAAUUACCAGCUUCAGUACUCAGUUAAUGUUCUCACUGUUUAGAACUGAAUAAUUAGUUUUGAGGACACCCAUUUAAGCUCUCCAAUGGGAUUGUUGCUUUUUUGUAUAUUUUGUAUGUGUUUUUUCUUUUUUUGAAUACUAGGAGGUUCUAGGCAAAAGCCCGUAAUCCCUCCAGAUCAGAAACCACAACAUAUAAUAUUAGUUUCAUCCCAAGUGUCACUCGAAUUGGCGACCUCUAAGCUUCGCCUAGGAUCUUUACCAAUUGAGCUAACGACACUUGAUUAUUUUUGUAUGUGUUUUAUUAUGUAAUUAAUAAACUGAUAUCUAUUUUAUAUAGUU